CCGGCGACCGGCGGACGGUGACGUAACGCGUAUACGUAACCUUACCUUGACGAGGGGAUAACAUCGAGAAAUUGGUACUAAUACCCCAUAACAUCACCGGAGGCAUCUUCGGUGGUUGAAAACUCAGGUGGUCAGAGAUGGACAUGCGUUGUAUUAGCUAGUUGGUGAGGUAACGGCUCACCAAGGCGACGAUACAUAGGGGGACUGAGAGGUCAACCCCCCACAUUGGUACUGAGACACGGACCAAACUCCUACGGAAGGCAGCAG
rnacentral:rRNA from 1 species